rnacentral:rRNA from 1 species
UACGUAGGCAGCGAGCGUUGUUCGGAAUUACUGGGCGUAAAGAGUGUGUAGGCGGUGCUCCCAGUCUGUUGUGAAAUCUCCCGGCUUAACUGGGAGGGUGCAGCGGAAACUAGAGUGCUAGAGGGUGGGAGAGUAAGCGGAAUUCCUGGUGUAGCGGUGAAAUGCGUAGAUAUCAGGAGGAACACCUGUGGUGUAGACAGCUUACUGACCACUUCUGACGCUGAGACACGAAAGCGUGGGUAGCAAACAGG